CUCCUACGGGAGGCAGCAGUGGGGAAUUUUGGACAAUGGGCGCAAGCCUGAUCCAGCCAUGCCGCGUGUCUGAAGAAGGCCUUCGGGUUGUAAAGGACUUUUGUCAGGGAAGAAAAGGCAGUUGCUAAUAUCGACUGCUGAUGACGGUACCUGAAGAAUAAGCACCGGCUAACUACGUGCCAGCAGCCGCGGUAAUACGUAGGGUGCGAGCGUUAAUCGGAAUUACUGGGCGUAAAGCGAGCGCAGACGGUUACUUAAGCAGGAUGUGAAAUCCCCGGGCUCAACCUGGGAACUGCGUUCUGAACUGGGUAGCUAGAGUGUGUCAGAGGGAGGUAGAAUUCCACGUGUAGCAGUGAAAUGCGUAGAGAUGUGGAGGAAUACCGAUGGCGAAGGCAGCCUCCUGGGAUAACACUGACGUUCAUGCUCGAAAGCGUGGGUAGCAAACAGGAUUAGAUACCCUGGUAGUCCACGCCCUAAACGAUGUCAAUUAGCUGUUGGGCAACUUGAUUGCUUAGUAGCGUAGCUAACGCGUGAAAUUGACCGCCUGGGGAGUACGGUCGCAAGAUUAAAACUCAAAGGAAUUGACGGGGACCCGCACAAGCGGUGGAUGAUGUGGAUUAAUUCGAUGCAACGCGAAGAACCUUACCUGGUCUUGACAUGUACGGAAUCCUCCAGAGACGGAGGAGUGCCUUCGGGAGCCGUAACACAGGUGCUGCAUGGCUGUCGUCAGCUCGUGUCGUGAGAUGUUGGGUUAAGUCCCGCAACGAGCGCAACCCUUGUCAUUAGUUGCCAUCAUUAAGUUGGGUACUCUAAUGAGACUGCCGGUGACAAGCCGGAGGAAGGUGGGGAUGACGUCAAGUCCUCAUGGCCCUUAUGACCAGGGCUUCACACGUCAUACAAUGGUCGGUACAGAGGGUAGCCAAGCCGCGAGGUGGAGCCAAUCUCACAAAACCGAUCGUAGUCCGGAUUGCACUCUGCAACUCGAGUGCAUGAAGUCGGAAUCGCUAGUAAUCGCAGGUCAGCAUACUGCGGUGAAUACGUUCCCGGGUCUUGUACACACGC
rnacentral:rRNA from 1 species